ACUCUAGUGGCUCAGACGGUAAAGCGUCUGUCUGUUAUGCAGAAGACCCAGGUUCAAUCCCUGGGUUGGGAA
rfam:TPA: Bos taurus chromosome 16, whole genome shotgun sequence.